GUGUAUAGUUUGUAUUUUGCAAAAGAAGAAAAAUCCGCUACGUACAAGUCGACCGAGUGAGGAAGUUGAACUAAUUGCCGAGCGAAGAAGCAAAAAUCAUAUCAAUAGCCAUAGAAGCACAUCAUUAGUCUUGCGCUUUUCACUAGUUUGGAUUCGGACUUCCUGAGCUCCGCCGAUUCCUUCCUCCUCCACCUCCUCUCCUCCCCCAGCCGCCGCCGCUGCUCAUCUUAUCUUUAUCUCAUCCCCAUCGCCCGCCCUUGCUCCGCCCCCGGGAAUCGUCGAUGGCGGCGUCGGCGUUGUGGCAGCCGCAGGAGCAGGGGCUCCGCGAGAUCUGCGCCCACCUGGAGGCGCAUAUCUCACCCAACUCUGACCAGGCCCGCAUCUGGCAGCAGCUCCAGCAGUACAGCCAGUUCCCCGACUUCAACAAUUACCUACUCUUCAUCCUGGCCCGCGGAGAGGGGAAAUCUAUUGAAGUUAGACAGGCAGCUGGUCUAUUACUGAAAAACAAUCUGCGAACGACUUACAUUUCCAUGCAAUCUUCAUCCCAGCAUUAUGUUAAGUCUGAGCUGUUACCAUGUAUAGGGGCAACCAAUAGGGCAAUUAGAUCCACAGUUGGAACAGUGAUCAGUGUGCUUUUCCAAAUUGUACGAGUUGCUGGAUGGAUUGAGUUGUUUCAGGCACUCCAUAAGUGUUUGGAGAGUAAUGACCUGGAUCACAUGGAAGGUGCUAUGGAUGCGAUAUACAAGAUCUGUGAGGAUGUCCCUGAAGAGCUUGAUGUUGAUGUUCCUGGUUUGUCUGAACGACCGAUCAACGUGUUUAUGCCAAGAAUACUGCAGUUUUUCCAGUCACCACAUGCAAGUUUGAGAAAACUAUCAUUGGGUAUCAUAAACCAGUACAUAGUAGUGAUGCCAUCGGCACUCUACAUGUCUAUGGAUCAGUAUAUUCAGGGAUUAUUCAACCUUGCAAAGGACUCUUCAGCAGAUGUUCGGAAACUGGUUUGUUCAGCCUGGGUUCAGCUCAUUGAAGUUCGCCCAUCAAUUUUGGAGCCACAUCUUAAAAAUGUUACUGAAUUGAUUCUGCAAGCUAAUAAAGAUUCAGAUGAUGAAGUUGCUCUGGAAGCUUGUGAGUUCUGGUCUGCAUACUGUGAUGUGAGCAUGCCUCCUGAAGGUUUACAGGAGUUCUUGCCGCACUUAAUCCCGACUUUGUUGUCGAACAUGGUAUAUGCUGACGGCGAUGAGUCCCUUGAUGAUGCUGAGGAAGAUGAAUCCUUUCCAGACAGGGACCAGGAUUUGAAGCCCCGCUUCCAUGAUUCUCGAUUGCAUGGAUCGGAAACUGGAGAUGACGAUGAUGAUGCUGAUGCUGUAAAUGUCUGGAACCUGCGGAAGUGUAGUGCUGCUGGGUUGGAUGUUCUCUCUAAUGUGUUUGGUGACAGCAUCCUUCCAACUUUAAUGCCAUUGAUUGAGCAAAACUUGGCUCGAACAGAUGAUGAUUCUUGGAAGGAGAGGGAAACUGCUGUUUUAUGUCUAGGCGCUAUAGCAGAGGGGUGCAUUAGUGGUCUAUACCCACACCUUCCUCAGAUUGUUGCCUUUCUAAUCCCACUUCUUGAUGAUAAAUUUCCUCUUAUACGGAGUAUUACGUGUUGGACGCUCUCUCGAUACAGCAAAUUCAUUGUUCAGAGCCUUGAUCAUCCAAAUGGACGCGGACAAUUUGAUAAGAUUCUUAUGGGAGUGCUCAGAAGGAUAUUGGAUACUAACAAAAGAGUGCAAGAGGCUGCUUGUUCGGCGUUUGCAAUCCUUGAAGAGGAAGCUUCUGAAGAAUUAGUACCCCAUUUGGAAGUAAUUUUGCAGCACCUCAUGUGUGCCUAUAGAAAAUACCAGAGACGAAAUCUCCGGAUACUCUAUGACGCCCUCGGUACCCUGGCUGAUGCUGUUGGAGCAGAAUUAAAUCAGGCAAAAUAUCUAGACAUAUUUAUGCCGCCUUUAAUCACAAAGUGGCAGCAACUUUCCAAUUAUGACAAAGAUCUAUUUCCACUCCUUGAAUGCUUUACAUCUAUCGCACAGGCAUUGGGACCAGGAUUUGCUCAGUUUGCGGAACCAGUGUUUCAAAGGUGCAUUAAUCUUAUCCAUUCGCAACAGUUGUCAAAGAUUGAUCCUACUGCAGCUGGUGCGGUGUAUGAUAGAGAAUUCAUUGUUUGUUCGUUGGACCUACUAUCAGGACUUGCAGAAGGUCUUGGCGCUGGUAUUGAAAGUCUUGUUGCACAGAGCAAUUUGAGAGAUCUACUUUUGCAAUGCUGCAUGGAUGAAGCAGCUGAUGUUCGACAAAGUGCCCUUGCACUUCUUGGAGACCUUUCUAGGGUUUGCCCAAUACAUUUGCAUCCACGCCUUCAAGAAUUUCUUACUGUUGCAGCGAAGCAACUGAACCCUCAAUCUGUGAAGGAUGCGGUAUCAGUAGCUAACAAUGCUUGUUGGGCUAUUGGAGAAUUAGCAAUCAAGAUUGGCAAAGAAAUAGCGCCUGUGGUGAUCACCGUUGUUUCGUGCUUGGUUCCCAUUCUAAAAUCCCCAGAGGGUUCGAACAAGUCACUUGUUGAAAACAGCGCGAUCACUCUUGGGAGGCUUAGCUGGGUGUGUCCAGACAUCGUGGCCCCUCAUAUGGAGCAUUUCAUGCAAGCAUGGUGCAAGGCGUUGUGCAUGAUCAGAGAUGAUUUUGAGAAAGAGGACUCGUUUCAUGGAUUGUGUGCAAUGGUGGCAGCAAACCCUACAGGAGGCGCCGGUUCAUUAGCUUACAUCUGCCAGGCCUGUGCGAGUUGGACUGAGAUAAAAAGUGAAGGUCUUCACAAUGAGGUGUGCCAGAUUCUGAAUGGCUACAAGCAGCUGCUUGGAAACGGUGGGUGGGAACAAUGCAUGGCCACCCUGCAACCGGAUGUUGUGCAGAAAUUAGCUAGAUACGGAGUAUGAUGGCAGUGGUCGUGUGGUUUCAUCAUCUUUUUACGCUGGAGACAGAGAUCAGGAUGGUUGGUUGGGUCACUUGCUCGUCCCUCCCGCCUCCCAGUCCCAGGCAAGGCGACAUUGAUGAAAGAAAGGUUUUUGUAGCGUGUAAUUCUUUUCUUCCUCUUCCUCUUAGCAGAUGCAAUUAUCCAGUCCUUUGUGCAAACAAGGGCUUCCACCAUCUCAGGAUCAAGGCGACUUCGAUAUGGAUCGACAACACGACCACCGGCACUAAAAGCCGAUUCAGAUGCAACACUCGAAACUUGCAUGGCCAACACAUCACGAGCAAGCAGGUAGAGGGUAGGAUAUUCUUCCAUCUGAGAUUUCCACCAUGCUAAAAUAUCAAAUGUAUUCUGAUUAGCUUUAGUAGCCUUCAAAGGUGGAUCUGCUAUGUACCUAUCCAAUUCACUCACUUCUCCAUCAUCAUCAAAUGACUCGUUUUCAAAUAAGAAGUCAAGCUCAGUAACUACAGUAUCCACAAAUUGAUCAGAAGAUGUUGCAUGUGUGUUACUGUUCUUUGCAGAUGGUGGAACUGAAAGAUAGCACUGAAACAUAUUCCUUAGGACACCAUUAAAUUUGUCAAGUUCAGCUUGAUAGGAAUUUCUAUGGAACCUUUUCAAGUAAAAUUCCACAACUCUUCUUUUGAACCUAGGAUCAAGAACAUUUGCUACAGCCAGUGCAACAUUAGACUUUCUCCAGUACUUAUCGAACUUGACACUCAUUGCAUUUGCCAUUUCACAAAUGGUAGUAUCACUACUAUGACACCAAUCUGAUAGCAGUAACUUAAUCUCACAAAAGCCACAGAAAAAUAGAUUUGCUGUUGGAUAUGUAGUACCAGAAAAUAUCUCAGUGAGGUCAAAGAAUUUUUUUAAUAAUGGAAUCAGAUUGUGCGCAUUCUGCCAAUCCUGGGGUGAAGGUGCAAUACUGCCAUAUCUAUGGCGUUCUAUGGAAGUAAGUCUCUCAAAGGCCGCCUUGUAAUAUAAAGCAUCCCUCAACAUAAGAUACGUUGAAUUCCACCUUGUAGAAACAUCAAGUGACAAAGAACGUUUUGUAUCCAAUCCACAUUCAGUUGCACACUUUUGGAAUUGUUCCCACUGAAUUGGAGACCCCUUAACAACAAGUACGGAUGCUCUAAUCUUUUGAGUUGCAGUGGAAAUCACACGCAUGCCAUCUUUAACAACCAAAUUAAGGAUGUGAUUGGCACAUCUCACAUGAAAAAAUAGCCCAUCACAAAUCAAAGGACUAUGUUUUUUUAGUUCUAUGAUUAGAUCUUUAACAGCAACUUCAUUUGCAGAAGCAUUAUCCAAAGUCAAAGAAAACAUCUUUUUCUCAACAUCUGUCGAUGGCUGAGAUUGAGAGCCAAUGAUGGCGAUGUCACAAUUUGGUGCUGGUGCUUGUGCGUCCAUUGGUGACCGUCUGCAAUCAGUAAUAGAGAGACCAAUGCUGCAAUGCACACCACACAGGCACACAACGAUAUGAGCAGCAGCAGGCUGGCAUGUCAUAAAAAAAGAUGACAAGAGAGGAGGGGAGACAAGGAGAGAAGAACUCACAGGAAAGCUGCAGGAUAGACUCAUCAGCUGACAAAGCCGAGGGAGACACGGCGACGCCACUCUUGGGCCAGAAUGGCGAGGGCUCAAGACGAUGAGAUACGUUGGCUGAUCGGCGGCAGGUACUUGGAGUCUUGGAGACGAAGAGUCGAAGACUGCUGGCCGAGUGGGAUCGUCUGUCUAGCUGCUAGGCCUAGGUUAUCUGUCUGGCUGCUGCUCGAGUGCUGGUUGGGCCAUUUGGGCUGGACAGCUGGUUGGGCUGCUAGUAGAUGGCUGGACCGCUGGAUGGCCGGAUGGGCCAGUUGAAGCCGGUAAUUAUCGACGGUAAAUUACCGACCAAAUGUGGUAAUUUUCGAAAACGGUCGGUAAAGCCUGAAACCGUUUUUGCUAUCGUUUUUGAAUUUUUUUGCCGUUUUUUAUUUCGAAUUGUCGGGUACCAUUUCCAUUUUCGUUUAUCCCUAAAUUCCGAUAAAAUAUCAAAAACGAUUCUCGAUAAUCGGCAAUUAUCGCUUUCACUUUCAUCCCUAGUGGCGGCAACUGAGGCGAGAACCAUCAUUAUCGUGCGGAGGUAUAGAUGGCCAAAUGGGUUGUGUUUGACGGGCCGUACCUGGGCCAGCCCGGCACGAGCGCUGUGCUUGGGCUGUAGCCUCGGCCCGUAGUGCUGGUCCGGCCCGACACAAUUAUAUAUUUUUAUUUUACUAAAAAUGUAUAUACAUAUCUACAAUUUAUAUUCAAUAUUAAAGGUACUUGAUCAUGAUGUUCUACUGGUUAGACAACUUCACCCAGUGUCUCUCGCUCUUCUUCUAUCAGGGCGUGGGUUCGAACCCCACCUCAUGCACCGCUUUUUUAAACAUUUUACGCUGAUUUAACCAAAUAGCCCAACGGGCUAACGGGCCAGCCCGUCACAGUUAGCAGGCCGGCAUGCCGUGCCUGGGCUAGAGUUGUGGCACGCGGGCGUCGGGCCCGUGCCUGGUUAUCGUUUGGCCAUCUAUAUGCGGAGGUGUGCUUUGGGACGUGGAGGUUGGUUGUGCGGAGGGAACAAGUGUGCAUCGAGUUAAUUUGAAAUAUAUGCGAGGGGUUAUUUAUAAAAAGAUGAUAUGGGACGACCAUUGAAAGUGAUGCUUUAAUAUUCUAAUAUGACUUUCUAUAUCAGUAGGGCUACUUGAUAACCACCCAAGAAUUUGAAAAAACAAUCAGCAGGCCGGCCGUGCCUAGGCCAGAGUUGUGGCCUACGGACGUCGGACCCGUGCCUUGAUAUCGUUUGGCCAUCUAUAUGCGGAGGUGUGUUUUAGGACGUGGAGGUUGGUUGCGCGGAGGGAACUGACGUGCAGCGGGUUAAUUUGAAACUACGUACGUGCCCGUGGUAUGCUACAGAAAAAUUGAUGAGACUCCAACGACCCUACAGAUGGGAAACACAGUAUAAAUAGAGAAACACAAUAAGUCAGACAAGGAAACAUCAAUCAUACAUGCAACAUAUCCUAAUUAAGGAAUAUAAUCAUGCAUGCCCUAAAAAGGAAACAGAGAAUAAAAAAAGAAACACAAUAAUGAGGCAAAGGGAAUGUGCAUGCACCCGAUCCUAAUUAAGGAAUCGUCAAUCAUGCAUGCAACACAUCCUAAUUAAGGAAUAUAAUAAUCAUGGAUGCCCUAGAAAAGGAAACAUAAAAUAAAAAAGGAACCACAAUAAUCAGGCAAGGGAACGUGCAUGCACCAGAUCCUAAUUAUUAAUAAGGAAUAUAUAAUAAUGCAAGGGAACGUCAGGAGCAAAUUGAAGGCAGAUAUCUAGUGCUCAAAUAUAUUACAUGGCAUUAUAUAGAAUACAACCAGGAGCAAAUUCAGAUACUAUGCUAUGGGCAAUUCACUAUUCUAGGACAACUCACCAUUCACUUUGCAGUCUAUCCAAUACCAUACUUCACUUGCUAAUAAAGAUAACAUGUUACUAAAGGAUUACAUCAACAAAAUCUUACUGAUUUUUUUACAAUAAGCAUGUUGAUUUUUAUUUCUUUACAUCUUCUCAAUCAAUUAAGCAUCACAAUCGGUAUCACCUUCUUUCACAGCAACACCAAGCUUUUCAUGGAUUUCAGUUGGCCUGCAUUAAACAUAUUAACAUGUAAGGAUUCGAGGAACACAUGGUGGAACACAAAAUGCAAAAAAGUAGGGAAAGGAACCUUCGACUUUGAGAUGAAGAUGCGCACGGUAUGAAAGGCACGGUCUGGAAGAUUGAUGAAUCAGUUCCGAAGCUAUGGAUGAAGAAGCUUCGGCUUAGCGCAAAGACGGUGAUGGAGAAUGAAACCGACCUAAAGGGGAAAAGACUGCUUAGUCCUCGACAGAUUACUCCUUAGUCAAUAGUAAAUGUCAAGGACAUGAAUGUAAUUUUACCCAGGCUGCGUCCUGUGCCUAUAAAUAGAUGAACAGUAACACAAUAUUGUUCACGCUGAUUUGUAAUCACUCGCACGUCGCUCUUGGAUUCUUACAUUCUGUCAAGCCGAAGAUACAAAUGUAAUUCAAUAUUAUUAAUGUUUGUUCAUGAUCAUAUAAUGAGAAUAUAAAUAAUCUAA